UGCAUGGCCGUUCUUAGUUGGUGGGUUGCCUUGUCAGGUUGAUUCCGGUAACGAACGAGACCUCAGCCUGCUAAAUAGUCAGCAUCGCACCUGCGGUGCGCCGACUUCUUAGAGGGACUAUUGGCGUUUAGCCAAUGGAAGUAUGAGGCGAUAACAGGUCUGUGAUGCCCUUAGAUGUUCUGGGCCGCACGCGCGCUACACUGACGCGACCAACGAGCCUAUCCUUGGCCGAGAGGCCCGGGUAAUCUUGUAAACCGCGUCGUGAUGGGGAUAGAUUAUUGCAAUUAUUAGUCUUCAACGAGGAAUGCCUAGUAAGCGCGAGUCAUCAGCUCGCGUUGAUUACGUCCCUGCCCUUUGUACACACCGCCCGUCGCUCCUACCGAUUGGGUGUGCUGGUGAAGUGUUCGGAUUGAGCUUGGCUGGGGCAACUUGGCCUUGCUUGAGAAGUUCAUUAAACCCUCCCACCUAGAGGAAGGAGAAGUCGUAACAAGGUUUCCGUAGGUGAA
rnacentral:rRNA from 1 species